CAGCAGUAGCCGCGGGAAUACGUAGGUGGCAAGGGUUGUCCGGAAUUAUUGGGCGUAAAGGGCUUGCAGGCGGUUUCUUAAGUCUGAUGUGAAAGCCCCCGGCUCAACCGGGGAGGGUCAUUGGAAACUGGGAAACUUGAGUGCAGAAGAGGAGAGUGGAAUUCCACGUGUAGCGGUGAAAUGCGUAGAGAUGUGGAGGAACACCAGUGGCGAAGGCGACUCUCUGGUCUGUAACUGACGCUGAGGAGCGAAAGCGUGGGGAGCGAACAGGAUUAGAUACCCGAGUAGUCCCUGUCUCUUAUAC
rnacentral:rRNA from 1 species